AAAAGACUUAGUCCUAACCUUACCGUUGAUUGUUGCCAAACAUAUACAUGCAAGUAUCCGCACCCCAGUGUAAAUGCCCAUAAACACCUUACCAAGACAAAAGGAGCAGGUAUCAGGCACACUGACACCGUAGCCCAAAACACCUUGCUCAGCCACACCCCCACGGGUACUCAGCAGUAAUUAACAUUAAGCAAUAAGUGUAAACUUGACUUAGUUAUGGCAAACCCAAGGGCUGGUUAAUCUUGUGCCAGCCGCCGCGGCCAUACAAGAGACCCAAACCAACGGCAGCACGGCGUAAAGAGUGGCACGACAAUAUCCAUCGGGCUAGUACCAAAACACAACUGAGCUGUCACAAGCACAAGAUGUGUAGAAGAACUCCAAAAAGAAGAUCCUAGCCAGCACGACCUAAUUAAUGCCACGAAAGCUAAGACACAAACUGGGAUUAGAUACCCCACUAUGCCUAGCCUUAAAUCUUGACACUUCCUAGACUAAAGUGUCCGCCUGAGAACUACGAGCACAAACGCUUAAAACUCUAAGGACUUGGCGGUGCCUCAAACCCACCUAGAGGAGCCUGUUCUAUAAUCGAUAAUCCACGCUACACCCAACCGCUCCUUGCUUGCUCAGCCUACAUACCGCCGUCGCCAGUCCACCUAUCCUGAAAGAACAACAGUGAACACAGCAGCCCAACCACGCUAAAAAGACAGGUCAAGGUAUAGCCCAUGGAGCGGAAGAAAUGGGCUACAUUUUCUAUUCUAGAAAAUUACGAAAGGGGAUAUGAAACUCCCCCAGAAGGCGGAUUUAGCAGUAAAGUUGAACCACAAUGUCAUCUUAAAAUCGGCCCCGGGGCACGUACAUACCGCCCGUCACCCUCCUCAUGAGCUACUAACACAAGUAAUUAACUCCAAUUUCUAGCCAAAGACGAGGUAAGUCGUAACAAGGUAAGUGUACCGGAAGGUGCACUUAGCACACC
rnacentral:rRNA from 1 species